rnacentral:tRNA from 1 species
GCGCCUGUAGCUCAGCUGGAUAGAGCAUCUCCCCUUCUAAGGAGGUGGUCGCAGGUUCGAAUCCUGCCAGGCGCGCCA